CCCACCUACCUACCUGCCUACCAUUCUCUUGUCUAUAGGAUUCCCUGUAUAUCACAGAUAAUCAAACAUGCAGACUGUACUUUCUCAUUCCCAGUGCUGUUUCACAUCUACUCCAACAUUAUGUCCUCAGAGCUACCUCAUGGCCUAGUUAGGCCAGGGUUCAUCACUCCCGUUUGGCAGGUGAGGAACCUGAAGCUUGGAGGAUUUGAACCUGCUACUGUUCUACGAUACCAAGCUCUUCUCCAGUCUGCAUAUGACUUGCCUUUGGGUAAGACCCUCGAGAGCUUGUAUUUGGGUCAGGGUUAUGAGGUUCAAUCAUGAGCAACCAGUCCUUACGCAGGUGGAGAUGAAGAGGUUGAGAGAAAGAAGUGUGGCAUUCAUUCAGAGAUUGGUCCCUGAACACCAGUUUCCCUCUGUGCUCUUUGCAAACAUAGAUUUUGGGAAAAUGAACCUGUGUGUUGUCCUCAGCUUCCUCACCUAUCAACAAGGGAGCUGCAUGAUAUCCUCCCAGAACCUUCCAGCUGGUGCUGAGGUAUGGUCAAUUAGAAGGGUAGCCCACAGCAUCAUCCUCUUCCCAGCAGGACCCUCCAGAUCUACCAUCCGCCAGUUCUUCUACCACCUCACCCAGUCCCAGGCCAGCUCAGUGUGUGACAGCAUGCCCUCACAUUCCUGGUGGAGGUGCUCAACUUUGCCAUCAUCCUCUUUGACUACUCGGCCUUUGGGGUAAACCAGCAAGCCCUUGGCCCACACAUCUCUCCCAAGACUGCUGAACUCAGCACUUUGGUUUCCUGGGAACCACCGCCCAGAACUUUGGGUUCAUGGAGCUGCAAUUCCCUCUGUUGUUGGGGGUGGGGGCAGCCAUCAGUUAUCCUCAAUAACUGGGCAGAUGACAGGAUAGCUUUGCCCUCAGCUUCUUAAUAGGAGAGAGUGGUCUCCCUCUCCCUCUCUCUCUUUUUAGAAUAGCAAUUUCACUGACUCCAUUACUGAAAUGGCUCUUGCCUCCUGUGCCCUAUCCAAGUUGCUAUGACGUUGUUUUAUUGCUUCUCUGAAAAGCUCCUACUAAUUAAGGUGAAAGCCAGACACAAAUGGGGCUGGGGCUGCAGUGCAAGGCACAGGUCUUUCACCGAGCUGACUGGACAGGAUUCUUUCAGGGCCCUGCAGCUGCCAUCCCCUCUUUGUUCAGUUUCUGGACUCUCUUGAUAAUUCAUCAAGGCCUGGCCCCUCACCCCCCAAAACCAGGACAUCUGCCAGCUAGAGAGGGGCUGGAAGGGGAGACGAGACUACCUGUAGCACCCUUACUCUGGCCUGUGCUCAGUGGCCAGAGGAGAGGAGGGGUGGUGACAGCAGGAGCAGACAGAGUCCCCUCCAGAUUAAGAUCUUGGGGGGGUAAGUCCUGCUCUGUGUCCUGGGGCUUAAAGAAAUGUCAAAAGCAGCUCUAGCCCUGAAGGGACUGAGCAUUUGACUGAGGAAACAGGACACAUGUCUGGGAACAGCAAACCACAGUCCAAGCUGGUCGGUGUCCAGUGUCCCAGGACUAUGAGGCCAGUCAGGAACCUGGGGUGCACAAUGGAUGACCAUUCUGUUUGGGGAUGGGGAGGAAAGGUCAGGAGGGUUUUCUGGAGUCAGGGACAUUAGAACAAGGCCUUGAAGGCCAAGUCAGGACAAAGACAGAGAGAGAGAGAGAAAGAGAGAGAGAGGGAGAGAGAGGUGAGCAAUGAAUCCCCAAUAGUUUUCAGGGGGUCAAAGGAGAGACCCAUGUACAGGGAGAUGAAUAGAGUGAGGCCAGCAGGAAUUGGAGGCUAGCCCUCAAGCUCAGGUUGAGGGGAAGAGGGGCCCCUGAAAUCCAGAAUAUGAAGGUGACAUCUCCUGAAGUGUUUGUGAGAAUGGCAGGGCUAGGGGCCAGGCAGGCACUGUCCGCCACAUGUCUGCCCCUAAGCCACAGCCUCUCCUGCCUGGUAGAAAUACUCAUCCAUCCGCUGACCUGGCGCUCCAAGCCCAGAUUUACAGCAGCAGUGACAUAAAACCUCCCCAGUGGGUGUUCCCCAGGGCCUCACCCUAAACUUCUCUCUGGGAAGAGAUAUUUGCAGCAAACUUGCUGGGGGGCUCAGUUAUCCCAAGAAGUGUGUCUCAAGAGCUUCCUAAGGCCCCUCUGAUUAGAUGGUCUCCAUUGGCCCAGUGAAAAAGAUUUAAGGAUUAUCUUAAUAAUAAACCACCCAAGCAGCAGACAACCCAAGAGGGGCAAGAUUUUAGCACCUGAAGUGGCGGCUUUGGCUCCUUUGUCAAGAAUAGAUGAAGGGUGUAAAAAAACUCAACUUUUUCAGCAAAGCAAAGGGAGUCCAGGUGUCCCCAGGAGUCACAAGCAAAUCGUUUGUGAAAAGGUAGUUUUAUUAUUUUUCUUCCUUUCUCCCCUACUAACAAUUAUUCUUGAAAUAACCACCCCGGUCUUCCUCUCGGCUUUGAUGACCCCAGUGAGCUGUGUGGGCUCCUGAGAGGCCAAAGCAGGUGAGCACAGAGGCUCCUCUCCUAUGUCCUGGGUAGGGCAUGGAGGCCCAGGUAUGGCUGCAAUUAUCAGCUUUUCUGGGCAUCUGCAGGAGAUUUAGUCUCAACUACGUGGCUCAGUCCUGGCACCUGGUGAAAUGCAUCUAUUUUGGCCUGUCUACCUAGCAGAUCAAGUGAGGCUACUCAAACUGGAUCCUUGGCAACUUCCUGACCAAAAACCUCAACCUCAUCAACCUCAUCUUGUUCAAAGGGUGAGUGGAGAACCAACUUCAGAUACAUGGGGCUGGGACCCUCUGAGGGCUCGCACGGCCGGUCCAGGACAAAUUGUGGGCCCAGGUCUGGACGAACAGGGUCUCUUGGAUGGGGCCACACCAUGAGAGAGUCCUGGGACCCAAGGACACGCUGAACCAAGGCAAGAGGGAAUAGGCUCUGUGUCCACAUGUUCCCCGUAAACUUUUUCCUCCUUCUUCUCAACUUCAUUCAAACUCGUCCCUCAUGGAAUGCCUUUCUCUCUGCGCCGCAAAUACACAUGUUUUCCCCCAUUAGAGGCAGAUGCAGAACCAGGGGCAGUGACUUUCCUCUGGGGUGGGUGAAUGAGCUCCAAAGCAAGGGCUCUGGGAUGCUUCUGGAGGUGGGAGAGGACCGGAAUGAACUCCUUCACUUAGAGCCAAAUGGUGCUGCGGCCUACAAGACCCAUGGUCCGACCCUGCCUGUAUGUCCCACUUCAACUUGCGUCCCUCCUCUCUUCGGGCCCCUGGAGCCACUCUGUUCCUGGAAUGUGUCCAGCUCUUUCUCACCUCUCUACCUGGGGCCUGCUGUCCUGGAAAUGCCUCAUCCCACUCUCACCCUUUCCAAAGAGCUGCCUCUGUCCAUCCUUCAAGACUCAGCAUAAAGACCCUCCUGGCCACCCAAUCUGAAGUGUCUCUGCCACCCCCUUGUUUAUUUCCUUUGUAGCACUUAUCACGAUCUAUCAAUGUCUGCCGAUGUAUUGUCAGUGUUCUCCACGUAGGAUGUUUUCUCUCUUGUGCACCCACAUAUCCUAAAUACUUAGCAUGGCGCCUAGCAGAGAGUAAGACUGCUUGCUGAAAGGAUGGAGAAUAGAUGGGGCGGUUGGGGUGAUUGGAUUGGAAGAGGCGGGAUGGGAUGGGAAGGGAAAGAAUGGGAUGGGAAGGGAAAGAAUGGGAUGGGAUGGGAAAUGGUGGAAUGAGACAGGAUGGGAUGAAAUAAUGGAUGGGACUGGAUGGGAUGGGAGGAAGGGCAUGGGUGGGGUGUGACGGCACGAACAAGUUGGACAGAUGGGCUGGACCACUAGAUGGACCAGUGCCCUCAAGCCUCCUGGUGGUCCUCUCUGGUCCCAGCUUCCACUUUAUACCUUUCCUCCUGGAGCUGAGGGCAGUCAGACUGGGUGUGGACUGACACUGCCCUCAGCCUGUCCAACUGGAUAUGCCUAUAGGACCUAUAUGCCAACAUCUUCAUCAUGAAGUGCUGGCAGGAGUCCAAGAAGGUGUGCAUGCAGCAUCUCCUGCCUCUCAGGAGUCUUGGAGGUGGCAGCUUACCUGGCCUUAACCUUGUUCCCCUGGAGCAGUGAGAUUCCUGCCCUGCCUAGUAUUCACCUAACGGUGUGGCCCUGGCCCUGAUUCUCCUGGGGCUCACAGAAUAUGUAGUAAGUCCUCAAUAAUAUGGCAGAUCUUGUGCUAAAUUCUUCCUACCAUCACAACCACCUGAUGGAGGAGGUACCAUUUUUUUUUUUGUUUACAUUCUUUUUUUUUUUAAAGAUUUUAUUUUUUUCCUUUUUCUCCCCAAAGCCCCCCAGUACAUAGUUAUAUAUUCUUAGUUGUGGGUCCUUCUAGUUGUGGCAUGUGGGAUGCCGCCUCAGCGUGGCUGGAUGAGUGGUGCCAUGUCCGCGUCCAGGAUUCGAACCAACGAAACACUGGGCCACCUGCAGCGGAGUGCGCGAACUUAACCACUCGGCCACGGGGCCGGCCCCAGGAGGUACCACUUUUAUUCCCAUUUUACAGAGGAGCAGGCAACUCAAGAGUGGCUCUGUGCCCAGGGUCACAUAGCUAGAAAUAAUGGAGUUGGGACCUAGAUCCAACUCUCCCUGACCCCAGUGCUUUGGAUCACCAGACAUUCCCUGAAUUGACUACCUUCCCCAAACUUUUAAGGGUCAUUUGCCAAACUGCCCUCCCUCAAGUCCACACCUGCCUGGCUCUGACCUGUGUGGCCCUCUUCUGCAGAAAUACCCCCAGCCUCCAGGGCAGCAGCAGCAGGUUUGAAAUACAGAGUUGGGGGCAUUAUCACGUUUGCUUUGGUUUUCCUCAUGUGGUUGCCCAGUUUUCGUGUCCUUGUUGGAGACAGUGGGCAGUAUGACCAACCAGCCCCUGGAUGUCUCUGCCAGGAUGGCCAUUAACGGUUAUCAGGUGGCUGGAGCAGAAGGGGAAGGGAAGUGCCUGUGUUUGUGGGGAGGCGGUAUCAGCACAUGCUUCCUAGCCUGAAAUCUUUGCUCCUUGAGCUGUGGUCCUACAUGUGGAUUCAGAGCUCAGACUGGCCUCAGAGCCUUGUUCUUGCUGUUCCUUCCCCCAAACAUACUCUUUCCAUCUUCUCCCUUGCCAGUUUCAAAAGAGAAGAGAUCUGAGUCUCUUCUCCAUCUGUCCUCUCAGCACCUCAGCCCAUUCCAGAUCAUGUGCUUAGUGCUGACACACAUCACCCCAGAGAACAGAAGCUCCUUGAGUGCAAUGUGUCAACUCCUUGCCUCUCUGCUCCCAUCACUAGCAUGGGCCAGCUUUCUGACCUGUACCCCACCGUCCUCCUUUCUCUCAGACCCUGUUCUCAAUGAGAUCUCAGCAACAGAACCUGGUCCCCUUUUCAGAUGCAGAUUAAGACCAGCUAACCCAGCAAUAUACUCUUCAAUCCAUGAGUGUCUCCCAAGCCCAAAGAAGCUACCGGGCAUCCAGUUCCCACUUGUGCAUUUCCUUCCCCUACCAGAUACUAGAAUCCUGUAAAGCUACAAGUAUUAAAAUGGAAUGGACCUGGAAUAGGAUAUGGGAGGCAAAUCAAUGCAACAGGAGCACAAAGAUGAACCCAAAUGACAAUAAAAGAGGUGGCAUUGCAUCCUGAUGUAGGUUCCUUUUUCUUCCAAGCCCACCAUGCUGCUCCUAGCGAACUACAGACCAGAGGACGUAGUUCUUGCCAAGAUCAAAAGUCAUGCCAGUCUGCUAUGGGGCAUCAGCCCUGCCAACAGAGCAGCAAUGGUCAAGGAACUAGCCAAUACCACUUUCAUCUACAUCACCACCUUCUGGACCAUUCAGAGGUAAUCUGGGGUCAUCCAAAUCCACAGCCCUGUCUUAAGCCCCCAGUUGUUUGUGGGAUCCUACAGGUAAACAUUAAGAAGUUCUGAGCACUUUCAAAAAUAAUCAUAAUGACUGAUCUUGAAUGAAGACCACAUAGUUGUCAGUCACUGUGUCGGUCUAUCUGUCCUUCCUUCCUUCUCUCUCUCUCAAAAAUAAUUUCUAUUUGGAAUUUAUCCAUUGUUAGCCAAUCUUUCGCUAUGGUUAACUUUUUAGGAUUAGUCUUUGUUUUUAAUUUUAUAAAAGUAUAAUUGAGAAGCACUGAGAAAAGUCUAUGUAUAUAUACAUGUACACAUAUAUAUAAUCAGUGCAAAGGUUGAUGAAUUUUCACAAACUGAACACACCGCUGUAAGCAGCACCCAGAUCAAGAAACAGAACUUCACUACCCCUCAGUCGCUACACUUUCCUAAGGGAAACUCACCACCCUGACUUCUAAAAACACAGAUUAGGUUUACCUUGCUGUUUUCUCAAAAUUCACUGUUUUGCUUUGUUUUGUGAAACGAUACCAGAAUAAAACAAAUACCAAUUAUUUUUAAUUAUAUGGUUAGAAAGAACACGUUUUAAAAAUGGACUAAGGAACAAACAAUAUUACUUGUCCCAAAAGUAUUUUGGCAUUAUGUGAGUAGAUCUUUUAUUAUCGUUUUGCCUUAUGGUCUAUUUUGUGUUUUGUGGUAGAUUUUUUGAGGAAUGAAUGUGGAACAUUAAAUGGGAUAUAUGAGGAUGUAAUGAUGCUGGCUGAAGGCUGAAGAAGAAUAUGUAUUCAUGAUAACUUUUUUAUUGCAUCAAAAUGUACAUACAGCAAAUUCACAGAUAAGUGUGCAAUUUAAUGGAGUUUUGAGUAAUGCAAAUACCCACGUAACCACCACCCCAAUCAAGACUGAUAAUAUUCCUAUCAUCCCAGAAAGUUCCCUCAUGGCCCUUCCAGUUCAUGCCAUGGCAACCACUGUUCUAAUUUUUUUUUUUUUUUGAGGAAGAUUAGCCCUGAGCUAACUACUGCCAAUCCUCUUUUUUCUGAGGAAGGCUGGCCCUGAGCUAACAUCCGUGCCCAUCUUCCUCUACUUCAUAUGUGGGAUGCCUACCACAGCAUAGCAUGCCAUGUGGUGCCACGUCCACACCCAGGAUCCAAACGGGUGAACCCCGGGCCGCUGAGGAGCAGAACGUGUGAACUUAACCGCUGCGCCACUGCCCGGUCCCCCACUGUUCUAAUUUUGAUCACUGUAGAUCAGUCUUCCCUACUCGUGAAUUUCAUACACAUGUAAUCAUAGACUAUGUACCACUUGUACAACACAAUGCUUUUGAGAUUCAUCUACAUUGUUGCGUGUAUCAGUUGUUUAUUCUUUUUUUAAUAUUGAGUAGGACCUCACUGUAUAAAUAUAUACAAUUUAUUUAUUCAUCCUUCUAAUAGACAUCUGAGUUGUGCCCAUUUUUGUGGACAUAUGUCCUCUUUUUCUCUUGAGUAAACACGUAGGAAUGGAAUUUGUUUUGUGAUGAAGUGGUUCCAGGUUUAACUUUUUAAGAAACUUAGUUUCCAAAGUGAGUGUACCAUCUUACACUCCCACCAGCAAUGUAUGAGAGCUGCAGUAGCCCCAGUUGCUCCACAUCCUCUCCAACAAUAGAUAUCAUCAAUCUUUUGAAUUUUGACCAUUCUGAUGGGUGUGAGUGGUACGUCAUUGUGCUUUUGUGUUUCCCUGAUGACUAAUGAUAAGGAGUAACUUUAUAUGCACUUAUUGUCUAUUUGUAUAUCUUCCUUUGUAAAGUGUCUAUUCAAUAUUGUUCUGUUUUUGGCUUUUACUGAGUUGUAGGAAUUCUUUAAACAUUCUGGAUGUAAGUCCUUUGUCAGAUGCAUGUACGUAAAUAUUUCCUGCAGUCGGCGACUUGCCUUUGCAUGCUGUCAGUGCUGACUUUUGCUGAGCAGAGGUUUUUAAUUUUGAAGAAAUCCAAUUUGUCAAUAUAUUUUUUUGCAGUUAGUGUUUUUUGGGUCCUCUCUAAGAAAUUUCUGCCUACCUGAAGUUCAUGAAGAUAUUCUUGUAUGUAUUCUGCUAGCUUUAUAGUUCUAGCUUUUAUGUUUAGGCCUAUAACCUAUCUCAAAUUAAUUUUAAACGUGAUGUGGAGUAGAAGUCAAGGCUCAUUUUUUUCUAUACAUUUUCCUAGUUUUUCCAGUCGAUUUGCUGAAAAAAAUGUUUCUUCUCACUGAAGGGGCCAUUGCCUUCACAUUUUUGUAAAAAAUCGACUGAAUACAUAUAAAUCUAUCUCUGGAUUCUUCAUUAUGACCCACUGAUCUAUUUCUCUAUGAUUCCAUCAAUACCACACCAUCUUGAUUACUAGUUUUUGAUGCGUUUUGAACUCAGGAAAUGUGAGCUCUCCAACUUGGUUGUUUAUUUUCAAGAUUGUUUGGGCUAUUCUAGGUCCUACGCACUUCCAUUUCCAUUUCAGAAACAUCUUGUCAGUUCUACAAAAAAUCUUGUUGCUAUUUGGAUUGAAAUUAUGUUGAAACUAUAAAUGUCCCUAGUUCGAUGUGGAGAGAACUCACAUCUUAACAAUACUGAGUCUCCAAACCACGUACAUAGUUUAUCCAUUUAGAUCUUUAAUUUCUCUUAGCACUGUUUUCUACUUUUUUAUAUACAGGUCUUGCACACUUUUAAAGUUAUUCUUAAGUAUUUUUUGAUGCUAUUUAUCAAUGAAAUAGUUUUUAAAACUUCAUUUCCAACUAUUUGCUGCUAGAAUAAAAAAUAUAAUUUAUUUUAUAUAUUGACUUUGUAUCCUGUGACCUUAUUAAAAGUACUUAUUAGUCCUAAUAUUUUCUUUAAAAAUUUUCACAUAAAUAAUCACGGCAUCCAUAAAUAUAGAGAGGCUUGCUCUUUUUCCCCAAUCUACACAGCAUUUCUGCCUUGUUACACUAGCUGGGAAUUUCAGUACAAUAGUCAAUAGGAAUGGUUAAGAGCAGACAUUCUUGCCUUGUUCCCAAUCUUAGGAGAAAAGCCUUCAAUGUUUCAGGAUAAAUAUGAUGUUAACUAGGAUUUUCAUAUAUGUCCCUUAUAAGAUUGAAAAAGUUGUCUUCUCAUCCAAGUUUGCUAACACUUUUGGUCAUGGACACAAUUUUGGAAUGGACAGUGAAUUUUGUCAGACACUUUUUCUGUAUCUUUUGAAAUGAUCAUAUGCUUUUACCCAUUUAUGUUAAUAUGGUGAAUUAUAUUAGCUGACUUUUAAAUGUCCUACCAUCUUUCCAUUCCUUGGAAAAACUCUACUUAGUAAUGAUGUAUUAUCACAUUAUAACCACUGGGUUCAAUUUGCUAAUAUCAUGCUAGGGAUUUCUGUGUCUGUUUCAUGAGGAAUACUGGUCUGUAGUUUUCUUAUGAUGCCUCUGUCAGGUUUUGGUAUCAGGAUUAUGCUGACUUCCUAAGAUGAUUUGAGAAAUAUUUUCUUUUCAGUUUUCUGAAAGAGUUUGAGUAAGAGUUGUAUUAUUUCUUCCUUCUGUGUUUGACAGUACUCACCAGGAAAGCACUCUGGGCCUAGAAUUUCCUUGCAGGAAGAAUUCAAUAUCAAAUUCAAUUUUGUUAAUAGAUAAUGGACCAUUCAGAGUAUUUCAAGUUGUAUCAGUUUUGUUAUGCUGUGUUUUUCAAGGAAUUUGUCCGCCUCCUAUAAGUGAUGCAAUUUAUUGGCAUAGAGUCUCUCAUAAUAUUCCCUUAUUUUUUGAUGUUUGUAGUCUAUAAUGCUAUCUUCUCUUUCAUUUCUGAUACUGGUAAUUCGUGAGCUUUCUCCCUUUUUUCUUGUUCAGUUCUGCUAGGGAUUUUACAAGAGAUUUACCGAAAUAUAAUUGACAUAUAAUAAACUGCACAUAUUUAAAGUAUACAAUUUGAUGAAUGCUGACAAGUAUACAUGAGUGAAACCAUCACCACAAUCAAGAUAAUGAAUAUUUCCAUCACCCACAAAAGUUUACUCAUGGCUCACUGUAAUUCCUCUCUCCCUCCACCCCUAUCUCCAUGCAACCAUUGAUUUGCUCUCUGGAACUAUAGUUUGCAUUUUCUAGAAGUUUAUAUAGAUAAAUUCAUGUGGUAUAUACCAUAUUAUUUGAUCCGCUUCUUUCACUCAGCAUAAUGAUUUUGAGACUCAUCCAUACUAUUGCAUGUAUCACAAAUUUGUUCUUUUUUGUGGCUGAAUAGCAUGUUCUAAAGAAAUACCAAAAUUUAUUUUUUCAUUCACCUGGUGAUGGACAUUGGAGUUCUUUCCAAUUUUUGCCCAUAAUCAAUAAAACUAAUAUGAACAUUCAUGUAUAAGCCUGUGGAUGGAUAUAUGCUUUCAUUUCUCUACCUAAAGUAGAAAUAUUGGAUUGUAUGGCAUAUUUUUAACUUUUUAAAGAAAUUAUCAAACUGUUUUCCAAAGUAAUUGUACAAUUUUAUAUUUUCAUCAGCAGUGUAUGAGAAUUCCAGUUGCUCCACAUCUUCUCCAACAUUCUAUGGUCAGUUCAAAAAAUUUUAGACAUUCUAAAGGCUUAAAAAAACUAUAAAAUGAUAGUUUUCAAAAAUUAUAUAAUAGUUUUAUCAUAUUGUUUUAAUUUGCAGCUACCUACUGACAAAUGAUGUUGAGCAUCUUUUCAUGUGUUUAUUUGCCAUCUACAUAUCUUCUUCAGUAAAGUGUCUGUUCAAAUCUUUAGGUCAUUUUCAAAUUGGUCAUUUGUCUUCUUAUUAAAGAGUUGUUAGAGGUCUUUAUAUAUUGCAGAUAAAAGUCUUUUGUCAAUUAUAUGUUUUGCAAAUAUUUCCUCCCAGGCUAUGGCUUGCCUUUGCCUUCUCUUAACAGUGUCUUUUGAAAAACACAGCUUUUUAAUUUUGAUAACAUCCACUCAGCAUAAUGCUCUUGUGAUCCAUCCAAGUUGUUGCAUCUAUCAAUAAUAUCCUCCUUUUUAUUGCUGAGUAGUAUUUCAUGGUAUGGAUGUACCACAAUUUAUUUAACCAUUCACCCAGUGAAGUUCAUCUGGGUUGUUUCCUUUUUAUCUGUAAAAUCUGUCUACAGGUUUUUGUGUAAACAAAAGUCUCCAUUUCUCUGGAUGAAUGCCCAACAGUGCAAGUGCUGGGUCAUGCUGCAUGUUUAGUUUCACAAGAAACUGCCAAAUUGUUUUCCAUAGUGGCUACACCAUUUUACAUUCCCCUUAUCAACGUAUGAGUGAUCUGGAUUCUCCACAGCCUUGCCAGCAUUUGAUAUUAUCACUAUUUAUUUCAGCCAUUCUGGUAUAUGUGCAGUGAUAGCUCACUGUGGUUUUAAUUUGCAUUUCCCUAAUGGCUAAUGAUGUUGAACAAUUUUUCAUGUGCUUAUUUGCUUAUCUGUAUAUCCUCUUCAGUGAAAUGUCUGCUCAUGUUUUUUGCCCAUAUUCUAAUUAAAUUGUUUGCUUUUUAUUGUUGAGUUUCAAGAAUUCCUUAUGUAUUCUAGAUACAAGUGAUUUGUUAAAUAUGUAAUUUACAAGUAUUUUCUCACAGUCAGUAGUUUGUCUUUACAUCCUUCUUAAGAGGGUGUUUUGCAGAGGAAAAAAUUUAAAUAUGGAUGAGGUUGAAUUUAUCAAUUUUUCCUUUUAUGGAUCAUGCUUUUUGUACCAACUUUCUUUUGUCUAGCCCUAGAUCCUGAAGAUUUUCUCUUAUGUAGUCUUCUAAAUGUUUAUAGUUUUAUGUCUUAUGUUAAUUUCAUAAUCUGUUUUGAGUUAAUUUUUGCAUGUUUGCUCAGUGUUCUUUUUUUUUUUUUUGCCUAUGGAUAUCUAAUUGCUCCUCCAGCACCAUUUGUUGAAAAGGAUAUCCUUCCUCUGUUGAAUCGCUUUCUCAUCUUUGUAAAAAAUCAGUUGGGCAUAUUUGUGUGGGUCUAUUUCUGGGUUCUCUAUUCUGUUCUAUUUUCCUAUGUAUCUAUCCCUUCACCAAUACCACACUGUCUUAAUUACGGUAGCUCUGGUAAUCCCUCCAAUACCAGUUUUGAUUACUGUAGCUCUAUAGUAAGCCUUAGUGUCAGGUAAAGUAAUUCCUCCCACUUUACUCUUUUUUGUUGUUUUAGCUAUUCCAGGCCUGGUGUCUUUCUACAUAAAUUUUAGAAUAUGGUUAUGUCUAUUAAAAAAAACUUGCGUGGAUUUUGAUAGGAAUUGCAUCAAACAUAUAGAUCAAUUUGGGGUGAAGUGACAUCUUCAUUAUAUUGAAUAUUCCAACACAUGAAUAUGGUAUGUCUCUCCAUUUAGUUAGGUCUUUGAUUUAUUUUCUCAGCAUCUUAUAAUUUUCAGCAUACAGAUCCUGCACAUAUUUUGUUAAGUUUCUACUAAGUAUUUUGUUUUCCUUGGAGUGACUGUAAAUACUAUGGCAUUAAAAAAAUACUUUUUUUUCUCUAGAGCAGUUUUAAGCUUCACAGCAAAGCUGAGAAGGUACAGAGAUUUCCCAUAUAGCCCCUGUCCAAAGGCACAGCCUUCCCCAUCAUCAACAUCAUCCACAAGCAUGAUACAUUUGUUACAAUUUACAAAACUACACUGACACAUCAUUAUCACCUAGAGUCCACAGUUUACAUUAGGGUUCACUGCUAGUGUUAUACAUUCCAUGGGUUUAAACAAAUGUCUAAUAACAUGUAUCCAUCAUUACAGUACUAUAUAGAGUAUUUUCACUGCCUCAAAAUUCUGUCCCACCUAUUCAUCCUCCCUCCCCUCUAACUCCCAGCAAACACUUAUGUUUUUACUGUCUCCACAGUUUUGCCUUCUCUAGAAUGUCAUAUAGUUGAAAUCAUACAGUUAGACUUCGCCUUUUCAGAUUGGCUUUUUACUUAGUAAUAUGCAUUUAAGUUUUCUCCAUGUCUUUUUAUGGCUUGAUAUCUCAUUUCUUUUUAGCUCUGAAUAAUAUUUCAUUGUCUGGAUGUACCACAGUUUACUUAUCCAUUCACUUACUGAAUGACACCUUGGUUGCUUCCAAGUUUGGCAAUGAUGAAUAAAGCUGCUCUAAAAACCUGUGUGCAAGUUUGGUGUGGGCAUAAAUUUUCAACUCCCUUAGGUAAAUAUCAAAGAAUUCAAUCAUUGGAUCAUAUGGUAAGAGUACGUUUAGUUUCGUAAGAAACUGUCAAACUGUUUUCCAAAGUGCCUGGACCAUUUUGCAUUCCCACCAGCAAUGAACAAAAGUUCCUGUCGCUCCACAGCCUCGUUAGCAUUUGGUGUGGUCAGUGUUCUGGAUUUUGGCCAUUCUAAUAGGUGUGAAGUAGUAUCUCCUGGUUUUAAUUUGCACUUCCCAGAUGAUAUAAUGUGGAGCAUAUUUUUACACAUUUAUUUGUCAUCUGUAUAUCUGUGGUGAGGUGUCUGUUAAGGUCUUUGGCCCAUUUUUUAAUAAGGUUGUUUGUCUUCUUAUUGUUGAGUUUUAAGAGUUCCUUGCAUAUUUUGGAGAACUGUCCUUUAUCAGAUAUGCCUUUUGCAUAUAUUUUCUCCCAGCCUGUGGCUUGUCUUUUCACUCUCUUGACAGUGACUUUCACAAAGCAGAAGUGUUUAAUUUUAGUGAAUUAGAGUUUGUAAAUUCUUUUCAUGGAUUGUGCCUUUGGUGAACUUCACGUGUUCUUCUCUUUCCCCACCCCGCAACUUAGGUGGGACAGGAUGCUAUUGUGGGCUGGAGUUGGGUAUUUCCCUUCCCCGGGGUCAGUUAGGCUGUGGUUAACUAGUUCUUCAGAGGGCAUGCCUUAUUAAGAAGAACAGAAUGCUCUGUCUUAUUUCAAAAUAGUUCCUUUUCCCUACCCCUGCCAGGAGGUCAAGAGGAAUUUUCUUCAACAUUCACUAUGAGGACCCAGUUGACCUCCUGAAGGAAUGUGUCUCUGGUCAAGAAUGUGGAGGCAUCCAGCAAGCACACAGGCUGUUACACAAACACGGAGACCCAGGAUCAGCUGGUCCAAAUGCCCAUCCACACCAGGACAGAUCUCGUGUAGGUGUCCCCUCCUUGCUGGAGUGGCCAGGUGCAACUGAUACAGGCUGGGGCUCCAGUGUGCAGCAAAGGAGCACUUUCCCUGUUUAGGAAACACUUUCAUAGGUCCCUGGUGUCCCCAUGCAAAGUGACUUGCUAAUUGGCCCCAGCUAUGAAAGUGGCAGUCAGGAUUUGAACCCACUUCUGCUGACCCAAAGCCUGUGAGUGGCACACUCAGCUAUCUGGCCUCUUGGGUCACAGGAGGCCAGAGAGGUCCAGGACCCAUCCAUUUUACAGAUGAGGAAACUGAGGCCCAGAGCCUGGAGCCAUACACAUAGCUCCCUGGGGUAUUUGGCCUAUGAUGAUCUCCCCUCAAAGUGGCUGCAUCUCUCUGUCUGGCCAUCCCCGGUCUCGUGCAUCUAUUGACUCACCUCCCUUCAUCAACCAACACACACACGUGCUGAUUACCUGCCGGGGCCCUGCACUGUGGGGAGGGGCUCCAAGGUCAGAGCACUUGGGAUGUAAAGAGAGCAUGGGCUGCCUGGGGGGAGUCCCACCCCCUCCCCAACACACGCAUUGUCCUCCACACCCCUGGAUGGGAAUAAGAUAAUUUGCCUUGCACGAGGCAAAUUGCUUAUGAAAUGUUACCUAUUCUAGUGGUUGCUAAUAACAUCCCUAUGGUUGGUACAAGAAAGUGAGCAUUGAGGGGGCCUGGGGGAUCUUUUUGGCAUGCAUGCCUCACUCAGCCCAGUCACCUUGGGUGCCAGGGACACAGCACACCUCCAGCCUCCCACAGGGCCGGUCUGGCUCCCCCUCCGAGGCUGCUGGAAAUUGCCCUGGCCAGAAACUGGGUUGGGAGUGCAGCAGGCUGGGAAGGCAUCCCCACAAAAGGAAUGAGCUUUUCAGGGGCACUUAAUAAAUCCUGGAUGAGGAAGCUGGUUUCAGGCCAUCGCCACACUGAACCAAGCGUGCUCAUGGAUGCCACAGAAAUCUACCCAACCCGUUGAAGAAAGGAAGACUCUCAGACAUUAAAAAGAGAUCUACAGUUACGGAGUUAGCAGAAACUUCCUAAAUUGAUUCAGGAGGAGGGGGAAGGAGUCCGAACCAGGUGGAAUUUCUCACACAGCCAACAGGAAUCCACAGUUUCGGCUCAAGGCCACCUCAUGUUCUAAUUGUGCUAAUGGUGAAUGUGAACCAGGCCUCUGAGCUUUUCAAUUUGGGGAUUUUGUUUUCCUUUCUGAAGAAUGCCCCUUGGACUCAUCCCAAGAGCUCUCAGGACCACAGUGGGGACUGAAGUAAAGCAAAAACGGCCCAGUAGUUGGAAGUUAGUAAGAACUCAUUCCACUCCUUGAGGGAGCACUACCUUCCUGGAUAUUCUCACCCUCACAUCCCUGUCGCCCUCCCCCCAAGAUGCUGCUGCCAUAGAAGAGAGAAACCCCAAGCCGUCAGCGGGGAGGGCAGGCCUGGGCUUUGGGGACCUGGCUGGCUGUAGGAGGGCAUGAAGGCAGCCCCCUUCCCUCCUAAGCCCUAUUCACAGCUGUGCACAAGGACCCCCACCUGGGCCAGCAUUCUCUAGGAGCUGAGCCUGGCUCAGGGGUGCGGGGCUGAUGACAAUAUCUCAGAUGUGCGUGGGGUCUGGUACUUUUCCAAAGGCUUUCAAAUGCAUUAUCUUGUUGGAGGCUCAUUUGAGGCAAGAACUCAGCAGACUGGAAAACAACUAAUUUACUGAAUCCUGAAUGGAGAGGAAGCCGAAUGCAGCGUGUGUUUUUGCUGAAUCUCAAACCAAAACAACCUUUUGUUAAAGAACAAACAAAUAAACAAAAAUGCUGAACGUCAGUUCACCAGGGAACACAGUCUGAACAGAGGCUCUGGGCAGGGAAAUAUGCAGCAAAUUCAAAUUCAACAAACGUGUAUUGGGAGAGGGGCCUGCUGGAGUCACAGAUGUGCUCAUGAGGGGCCCCUAAGAGCUUUUAAGGGGCAUUCCAGCAUGCAUCAGGAGACAAGGUUGAUCUUUCCACAGAGCAAAAACACUGAGCCAUGGGAGGUGCUGCUGGGAGCUGGCUGGGGAGGGGGCCCUCCAGGUGGGGGGGACCCCUGAGCAAGGCAGGGAGGAGGGGUGCAUUUGGACCUUGAGACCAUGCUGCGUCUGAGUGGAGGCUGCAUUGCCUAUGGGGGGGAGCAUUGGAGGUUCCCCCUUGGAGUAGCACUUGGGGUGAUUACUCUGUAGCAGUGAGGUGGGGUGGGAUAUUUUGAGAUGAUCAAAUGGCCAUCAGCAUUUCCAAAAUAAAAAUGAUUUUGGUCAGUUUGAGUAGCUUCUUUGAAAUAAGUCUAUUCUCCCAUUUUUGGUGGCACAGAAAGAAAGGUGAAGUGACACAGCCGGAAAUGUGUGUGGGCAUUUUAGGGGGUUGGUCAGGUUUCUCAUGUCCAGGGCCAGGAUGGGAGGUGGAGACGGAGGGCUCGCCUAACCCUGCAUCUACUUGACCGGCCACCCCACACUCGUGCCAAGGGGAGAACGGCAGGACCAAGGGCUGUGGGGACUAGUGGGGACCCUUGGUGCACAGGCUGGCACACCAUGGGCCCCUACACCCCAGCUCCGUUUAUGCACGUUCACAAGGACACAUUCUUGGCCUGCAGUUUCUUCCUCCUGCUGGAGACUGGCUUCCUGGAGCCCAGCUUUGAGGGUGUAGAAGCCAGGGAUUGGAUGGGCAUCUCAGAGAGAAGCUGGCAAGAGCUGCCUAUUGCAAGGCCAUUAAGCAAGCUAAUGAGCCAUGAAGCCUCCCAGCCUUUCCGGCUGCCAGCCGUGCCUCCCCUCGGCUCAGAGAGCCCAUGCCCACCGACCGCCUUGUGACCGCUGUUAUUGUUACCUAACGUGUCGGGCCACGGUUUUCCCAGACAGGGCCCAGGCCCCAGAGCUGCUGCUUGCCUUUUCCAGGCCCAGCCAGGGCUGUGCACACAGCAGGCAGUUAACAAAUAUUUGCUUGGGAUCAAGCCCAGAAAGAGUCACC
rnacentral:lncRNA from 1 species